rnacentral:rRNA from 1 species
GAUGAACGCUGGCGGCGUGCCUAAUACAUGCAAGUCGAGCGAACAGACGAGGAGCUUGCUCCUUCGACGUUAGCGGCGGACGGGUGGGUAACACGUAGGUAACCUACCUAUAAGACUGGGAUAACUUCGGGAAACCGGAGCUAAUACCGGAUAAUAUUUCGAACCGCAUGGUUCGAUAGUGAAAGAUGGCUUUGCUAUCACUUAUAGAUGGACCUGCGCCGUAUUAGCUAGUUGGUAAGGUAACGGCUUACCAAGGCAACGAUACGUAGCCGACCUGAGAGGGUGAUCGGCCACACUGGAACGGAGACACGGUCCAGACUCCUACGGGAGGAGGCAGUAGGGAAUCUUCCGCAAUGGGCGAAGGCCUGACGGAGCAACGCCGCGUGAGUGAUGAAGGUCUUCGGAUCGUAAAACUCUGUUAUUAGGGAAGAACAAACGUGUAAGUAACUGUGCACGUCUUGACGGUACCUAAUCAGAAAGCCACGGCUAACUACGUG